GCCGGGCAUGAUGGCACAUGCCUGUAAUACCAGCAGCUUGGGAGGCUGAGGCAGGAGGAUCAAGAGUUCAAAGACAGCCUUAACACACUUAACACUUAGUGAGGCCCUAAACAACUCAUGAGACCCUGUUUCUC
rnacentral:sRNA from 1 species